GACGAACGCUGGCGGCGUGCCUAAUACAUGCAAGUAGAACGCUGAAGGAGGAGCUUGCUUCUCUGGAUGAGUUGCGAACGGGUGAGUAACGCGUAGGUAACCUGCCUGGUAGCGGGGGAUAACUAUUGGAAACGAUAGCUAAUACCGCAUAAGAGUAGAUGUUGCAUGACAUUUGCUUAAAAGGUGCAAUUGCAUCACUACCAGAUGGACCUGCGUUGUAUUAGCUAGUUGGUGGGGUAACGGCUUACCAAGGCGACGAUACAUAGCCGACCUGAGAGGGGGAUCGGCCACACUGGGACUGAGACACGGCCCAGACUCCUACGGGAGGCAGCAGUAGGGAAUCUUCGGCAAUGGACGGAAGUCUGACCGAGCAACGCCGCGUGAGUGCAGAAGGUUUUCGGAUCGUAAAGCUCUGUUGUAAGAGAAGAACGAGUGUGAGAGUGGAAAGUUCACACUGUGACGGUAUCUUACCAGAAAGGGACGGCUAACUACGUG
rnacentral:rRNA from 1 species